GACGAACGCUGGCGGCGUGCUUAACACAUGCAAGUCGAACGAAGUGGCGAACGGGUGAGUAACGCGGAAACAACCGGCCCUUCAGAGGGGGACAACAGGUGGAAACGACUGCAAAUACCGCAUACUGUAGGAGGGGAUUGCGUCUGAUUAGCUAGUGGGGGGGGUAACGGCCCACCAAGGCGAUGAUCAGUAGCCGGUCUGAGAGGGUGAACGGCCACAUUGGGGCUGGAACACGGCCCAGACUCCUACGGGGAGCAGCAGUGGGGAAUCUUCCGCAAUGGACGAAAGUCUGACGGAGCAACGCCGCGUGAGUGAUGACGGCCUUCGGGUUGUAAAGCUCUGUUAAUCGGGACGCGGUACCGGAAUAGAAAGCCACGGCUAACUACGUGCCAGCAGCCGCGGUAAUUC
rnacentral:rRNA from 1 species